rnacentral:rRNA from 1 species
UACGAAGGGGGCUAGCGUUGCUCGGAAUCACUGGGCGUAAAGCGCACGUAGGCGGCUUUUUAAGUCAGGGGUGAAAUCCUGGAGCUCAACUCCAGAACUGCCUUUGAUACUGAAGAUCUCGAGUCCGGGAGAGGUGAGUGGAACUGCGAGUGUAGAGGUGAAAUUCGUAGAUAUUCGCAAGAACACCAGUGGCGAAGGCGGCUCACUGGCCCGGUACUGACGCUGAGGUGCGAAAGCGUGGGGAGCAAACAGG